rnacentral:rRNA from 1 species
UACGGAGGGUGCAAGCGUUAUCCGGAAUCACUGGGUUUAAAGGGUGCGUAGGCGGCCUUGUAAGUCAGAGGUGAAAGUCACCGCUUAACGGUGGAAUUGCCUUUGAUACUGCAAAGCUUGAAUAGGCGCGAGGCAGGCGGAAUGUGGCAUGUAGCGGUGAAAUGCAUAGAUAUGCCAUAGAACACCGAUUGCGAAGGCAGCUUGCCAGAGUCUUAUUGACGCUGAGGCACGAAAGCGUGGGGAGCGAACA